rnacentral:rRNA from 1 species
GCUGGAACGAACCGGUGUAGUAGUGAAAUGCGUUGAUAUCGUUCGGAACACCAAUAGCGUAGGCAGGCUUCUGGGUGCCACCUGACACUGCUAGGACGAAAGCGUGGGGAGCGGAUGGGAUUAGAUACCCCAGUAGUCCACGCUGUAAACGAUGUACAUUAGGUGCUAGAGAGUAUCGACCCUCUUUGGUACCAAAGCUAACGCGUUAAAUGUACCGCCUGGGGAGUACGGCCGCAAGGCUAAAACUCAAAGGAAUUGACGGGGACCUGCACAAGCGGUGGAGCAUGUGGUUUAAUUCGACGGUAAGCGAGGAACCUUACCAAGGCUUGACAUGUAGCUGCAAGCCCUAGAAAUAGGGCCGCCUUCGAGGGUGCUACACAGGUGCUGCACGGUUGUCGUCAGCUCGUGCCGUGAGGUGUUCACUUAAGUGUGAAAACGAGCGCAACCCCUAUUGUGAGUUACAAGUGUCUCACGAAACUGCCAGCGUUUAAGCUGGAGGAAGGUGGGGAUGACGUCAAAUCAGCGUGGCUCUUACGCCUUGGGCGACACACGUGCUACAAUGGGUAGGAACAAAGGGACGCCAAAUCGCAAGAUGGAGCAAAUCCUGGCAAAACUACCCCCAGUUCGGAUUGAGGGCUGCAACUCGCCCUCAUGAAGCCGGAAUCGCUAGUAACCGUAGAUCAGCCUCGCUACGGUGAAUACGUUCUCAGGUUUUGUACACACCGCCCGUCACGCCAUGGAAGUGGG